GCAGGGAUGACACCAAGGAAACGUCGCAAAAAAGACAAGAGUUCACCUUCUCCAGCGGAAUCAACAGUCUGAAGGACGGACUUUGCCCUGAAGAAGUGUGCGUAGUCUCUCUGAUUAAGUGGUUCUCAACAGUUCAACAGUUCUUUGAGAAAAUUGUGAAAUGUUUAGGACCACUUGACCAGUCAGACAAAUGCUUUCGACUUUGGAAAAUGCCGCCUUUUAAUGGAUCUAAGGCAACUUUUAAAUGACUUUAAUAAUGAGUGUGUUUCCUCUGCUUUCCUGUUUCUUUAAAAUCUCUCUCUGUUUUCUACUCUCAUUGUGCCCCCUUGUGUUACAAUGUUGACUACAGUCCAGGAAGUAAGUGCAUGUGUGUGUGUGGUUGUGUAAAAGAGUGUAAAAGUCAUCUGACUUCAGUAUUUUACUGUCGCACACACAUUUUUUUAACCAGCUUUUCUGCUGCAGUCAUACCCUGUCGUUUUUUGCUGCUUUACUGUUGCCACUGUUCAGAAGUACUGAUUAAAAGAGGUAAAUAAAGAA